GCGCGUAAAUUGCCCGAAUCCUGACACAGGGAGGUAGUGACAAGAAAUAACAAUACAGGGCUAUUUUAGUCUUGUAAUUGGAAUGAGUACAAUUUACAUCUCUUCACGAGGAUCAAUUGGAGGGCAAGUCUGGUGCCAGCAGCCGCGGUAAUUCCAGCUCCAAUAGCGUAUAUUAAAGUUGUUGCAGUUAAAAAGCUCGUAGUCGGAUUUCGGGUCGGGCCGAGCGGUCUGCCGAUGGGUAUGCACUGUUCGGCGCGGCCUUCUUUCCGGAGACCGCGGCUACUCUUAACUGAGCGGGCGUGGGAGACGGAUCGUUUACUUUGAAAAAAUCAGAGUGUUUCAAGCAGGCAGCUCGCUCUUGCAUGGAUUAGCAUGGGAUAAUGAAAUAGGACUCUGGUGCUAUUUUGUUGGUUUCGAACACCGGUGUAAUGAUUAACAGGGACAGUCAGGGGCACUCGUAUUCC
rnacentral:rRNA from 1 species